rnacentral:rRNA from 1 species
GAUGAACGCUGGCGGCGUGCCUAACACAUGCAAGUCGAGCGAACAGACGCGGAGCUUGCUCGUCUGACGUUAGGGGCGGAGGGGUGAGUAACACGUGGAUAACCUACCUAUAAGACUGGGAUAACUUCGGGAAACCGGAGCUAAUACCGGAUAAUAUCUUGAACCGCAUGGUUGAUUAGUGAAAGACGGUUUUGCUGUCAGUUAUAGAUGGAUCCGCGCCGCAUUAGCUAGUUGGUACGGUAACGGCCUACCAAGGCAACGAUGCGUAGCCGACGUGAGGGGCUGAUCGGCGACACGGGAGCGGAGACGCCGACCAGACUCCUACGGGAGGCAGCAGUAGCGAACCGUCCGCAACAGUCGGAAGCAUGGCGGAGCAACGCCGCGUCAGUGGUGAAGGCCUUCGGAGCGUAAUGCUCUUCUUUUAGUGAUGAACAAAUGUGUAAGUAACUGUGCACGUCUUGACGGUACCUAGUCAAAAAGCCCCGGCUAACUACGUG